UGUGCCUGGUUUGCUUCCUAUUCACAUAAUCCCAGCCAUCAGGUAGACGGCAGGAUACCGGUUUAGAAGUUAGCAUAAAAUAUUGUAAAUUGGAAACUAAAAGUUUCAAGAGAAUAGGAACACUAAUUUCACCAUUUAAUAUGCACACAUCCUACAUACAAAGUCUAAAUCAUGGCCUGUCAAAAUAGCUAACAAAAAUACUUUCCAAACCUACAAAGCUUAUUUCUUUAGAUAAGUUAUAUGUCCACAAAAAUUUGAGUCAUAAUUUUCCACCUCAAAGAAGAAAAAAAAAUAGCAUGCCAACACAUGAAUAAAAUUAUAGAGAAAAAAUAAGUUUUGACAAUUACCAGUUUCAGCAGAGAAAAGGGAACUGAGCAGUGAUGAGACGGGCGACCUUCAACUUUAUUCCCAAACAAAAAUACGUUAUGAAUUAGAGAGGAUCAGACCACUCUAAACCUGCGCUACACCCAAAAUUUAUAUUCAAGGCACCAAAUCUAUUGUAGCUGUUCGCCCAACCCAAUGAACACUGAAGUAGGAUCAUUCUCCAUUCUUACCAGACUGGAUCGUACCAGCUUUAAGAGUAAGCAAAUUCU
rnacentral:lncRNA from 1 species